UACGUAGGGAGCAAGCGUUGUCCGGAAUCAUUGGGCGUAAAGCGCGCGUAGGUGGCCCCAUAAGUCCGCUGUGAAAGUCAAAGGCUCAACCUUUGAAAGCCGGUGGAUACUGUGGGACUAGAGUACGGAAGAGGCGAGUGGAAUUCCUGGUGUAGCGGUGAAAUGCGCAGAUAUCGGGAGGAACACCGGUGGCGAAGGCGGUUCUCUGGGCCUUACCUGACGCUGAGGAGCGAAAGCGUGGGGAGCAAACAGG
rnacentral:rRNA from 1 species